GAUGAACGCUAGCUACAGGCUUAACACAUGCAAGUCGAGGGGCAGCACAGUGUAGCAAUACACGGGUGGCGACCGGCGCACGGGUGCGUAACGCGUAUCCAACCUUCCCGUUACUCUUGGAUAGCCUUCCGAAAGGGAGAUUAAUACAAGAUGGUAUUCAAAUUCCGCAUGUUAUUUGAAUUAAAGAUUAAUCGGUAACGGAUGGGGAUGCGUGACAUUAGAUAGUAGGCGGGGUAACGGCCCACCAUGGCGACGAUGUCUAGGGGUUCUGAGAGGAAGGUCCCCCANACUGGAACUGAGACACGGUCCAGACUCCUACGGGACGGCUAGCAGUCGAGGAAUAUUGGUCAAUGGUCUGACGACUGAACCAGCCAUGCCGCGUGAAGGUCACGGCCCUAUGGGUCUUAAACUUCUUUUGUAAGGGAGCAAUAAGUCUCACGUGUGGGAUGAUGAGAGUACCUUACGAAUAAGCAUCGGCU
rnacentral:rRNA from 1 species